UUUAUUGUUUCAGAUAUUAUGGAUCUCAUUAGUCACAUACAUUUUCUACAAUUCCUUUAUUUAUUACAAAGAAGGACUACAGUUCUUUUAUUUAAGGAACAUUUUGGGGUUAGGUCUAUGUGUGUCUCGGGGCACGGCAGCAGUGUUAAAUAUAUGUGGCGCAUUAGUUUUACUUCCUCUUUGCAAGAAGAUGAAUCAACUACUCUACCGGGCGCUAUCUAAAUUAUGGCCCGGCUUGUUCUUUUUUUGGCUGGAAAGAGCUAAAAGUUUUCACAUAACUGUGGCUAUUACGCUACUUGUCUUCGCAGUCUCGCUCCGGACACACUCCACGAGGACGUCGUAUACCUCCUCCUCCUUGUUACAAAUAGAGCAGGUAGGAGAAACUUGAUAUGGCCCGAGCGAAGCUGGAAAGCUAUUAUCAUGUCUUUUCAGUUCGUGUCUGCUGCAUCAAUUCAAAGUCGGGGAGGAAAUUGCGGAGCCUUAGUGUAAUAAGGUUACAUCUGUAAAAUG